UGUUGUGCUGGCCCUUUGGGGGGCAAUGUGCACACCUCUGGUCAUCUGUUUCUUUUGUUCCACCUGUGCACUGCCUGUAGACACAUUGUGUCUAUGACAUGUUGUUUUAUACGCCAUGUUAUAUAUGAUAAUUUAAUACAAUGAAAUGAAAUACAACUUUCAACAACGGAUCUCUUGGCUCUCGCAUCGAUGAAGAACACAGCGAAAUGUGAUAAGUAAUGUGAAUUGCAGAAUCCAGUGAAUCAUCGAAUCUUUGAACGCAUCUUGCGCUCCUUGGUAUUCUGAGGAGCAUGCCUGUUUGAGUGUCGUUAAACUAUCAAAACUAUCUUCUCGAUAGUUUUGGACUUUGGGAGCAUUUUUGCUGGUGUGUUUGAACUCCCAGCUCUCCUCAAAAGCAUUUAGGCUGGAGGCCCGUCAGUGUGAUAAUUUGUUUUACGCUGAGUGUUGAGCGGCUUCUGCUUGUUGUUUUAACAACGAGAUUAACAACGAGAUUAAUAAACCUUUGACCUCAAAUCAGGUAGGAUUACCCGCUGAACUUAAGCAUAUCAAUAAGCGGAGGAA
rnacentral:rRNA from 1 species